rnacentral:rRNA from 1 species
GUGGGGAAUAUUGGACAAUGGGCGCAAGCCUGAUCCAGCCAUGCCGCGUGAGUGAUGAAGGCCUUAGGGUUGUAAAGCUCUUUCAGUAGGGAAGAUAAUGACGGUACCUACAGAAGAAGCCCCGGCUAACUUCGUGCCAGCAGCCGCGGUAAUACGAAGGGGGCUAGCGUUGUUCGGAUUUACUGGGCGUAAAGCGCACGUAGGCGGAUUGGUCAGUUAGAGGUGAAAUCCCGAAGCUCAACUUCGGAACUGCCUUUAAUACUGCCAGUCUCGAGUCCGGAAGAGGUGAGUGGAACUCCUAGUGUAGAGGUGGAAUUCGUAGAUAUUAGGAAGAACACCAGUGGCGAAGGCGGCUCACUGGUCCGGUACUGACGCUGAGGUGCGAAAGCGUGGGGAGCAAACAGGAUUAGAUACCCCAGUAGUCC